rnacentral:rRNA from 1 species
CCCUUCCGCACUCUAGCCUUGCAGUAUCAGAUGCUGUUCUUCCGUUAAGCAGAAGGCUUUCACAACUGACUUACAAAGCCGCCUACGUGCUCUUUACGCCCAAUAAUUCCGAACAACGCUUGCCGCCUCUGUAUUACCGCGGCUGCUGGCACAGAGUUAGCCGUGGCUUCCUCCGGAGCCUUAGUCAAGUAAGGAUACUAUUAGCACCCUUA